rnacentral:rRNA from 1 species
UUUAAAGAGAGUUUGAUCCUGGCUCAGGACGAACGCUGGCGGCGUGCCUAAUACAUGCAAGUCGAACGAACGGAGGAAGAGCUUGCUCUUCCAAAGUUAGUGGCGGACGGGUGAGUAACACGUGGGCAACCUGCCUGUAAGUUGGGGAUAACUCCGGGAAACCGGGGCUAAUACCGAAUGAUAAAGUGUGGCGCAUGCCACGCUUUUGAAAGAUGGUUUCGGCUAUCGCUUACAGAUGGGCCCGCGGUGCAUUAGCUAGUUGGUAGGGUAAUGGCCUACCAAGGCAACGAUGCAUAGCCGACCUGAGAGGGUGAUCGGCCACACUGGGACUGAGACACGGCCCAGACUCCUACGGGAGGCAGCAGUAGGGAAUCUUCCGCAAUGGACGAAAGUCUGACGGAGCAACGCCGCGUGUAUGAAGAAGGUUUUCGGAUCGUAA